rnacentral:rRNA from 1 species
GACGAACGCUGGCGGCGUGCUUAACACAUGCAAGUCGAACGGAAAGGCCCUGCUUUUGUGGGGUGCUCGAGUGGCGAACGGGUGAGUAACACGGGAGUAACCUGCCCUUGACUUUGGGAUAACUUCAGGAAACUGGGGCUAAUAACGGAUAGGAGCUCCUGCUGCAUGGUGGGGGUUGGAAAGUUUCGGCGGUUGGGGAUGGGCUCGCGGCUUAUCGGCUUGUUGGGGGGGUAGUGGCUUACCAAGGCUUUGACGGGUAGCCGGCCUGGGAGGGGGACCGGCCACAUUGGGACUGAGAUACGGCCCAGCCUCCUCCGGGAGGCAGCAGUGGGGAAUAGUGCACAAUGGGCGGAAGCCUGAUGCAGCAACGCCGCGUGCGGGAUGACGGCCUUCGGGUUGUAAACCGCUUUCGCCUGUGACGAAGCGUGAGUGACGGUAAUGGGUAAAGAAGCACCGGCUAACUACGUG